GAUGAAGAACGUAGCGAAAUGCGAUAAGUAGUGUGAAUUGCAGAAUUCACUGAAUCAUCGAAUCUUUGAACGCACAUUGCGCCCCUUGGUAUUCCAUGGGGCAUGCCUGUUCGAGCGUCAUUUGUACCUUCAAGCUCUGCUUGGUGUUGGGUGUUUGUCUCGCCUCUGCGUGUAGACUCGCCUCAAAACAAUUGGCAGCCGGCGUAUUGAUUUCGGAGCGCAGUACAUCUCGCGCUUUGCACUCAUAACGACGACGUCCAAAAGUACAUUUUUACACUCUUGACCUCGGAUCAGGUAGGGAUACCCGCUGAACUUAAGCAUAUCAAUAAGCGGAGGA
rnacentral:misc_RNA from 1 species